UACGAAAGGGGCUAGCGUUGUUCGGAAUUACUGGGCGUAAAGCGCACGCAGGCGGCCUGUCAAGCCAGGGGUGAAAGCCCAGAGCUCAACUCCGGAAUUGCCUCUGAAACUGGUAAGCUCGAGGAUGUGAGAGGUGAGUGGAAGUCCCAGUGUAGAGGUGAAGUUCGUAGAUAUUCGGAAGAACACCGGUGGCGAAGGCGGCUCACUGGCCCGUUUCUGACGCUCAGGUGCGAAAGCGUGGGGAGCAAACAGG
rnacentral:rRNA from 1 species